rnacentral:lncRNA from 1 species
AUGUUGUAUGCGUAGCGAGGGAAACGAGGUGUGACGCGUGCAGGUUCCCUAUGCCACCUGUGUGUUAUGCCACCUGUGUGUGCCAAGUGUAGCUUCGUGAUUGGAGGAAACACUUGUAUUUAAACACGUAGCCUAUAGCAAUUAACGCCAUUUGCCUCACUUACUCCUGGGGUCUGCGUGAGCAUCUGGCCCCGACCUGGUAAAGGGUCGGUUUUGCCCAGCAGUAAGCCCUACACGUGGACAGAGGACGAACACCGGACGAGCGAACGGAGACCACAUGCAACAAGUGGUGACCCCGACGUGAUCUGUCUGCUGAGGGUGGCUGCCCGGCGUGCCCGUGACGCGGAGAAGAGCCUGUGAGGUGGCGGCAGGUCGCAUGCGUAACAAUGGACCAAGUCAUUAAGGUACUUGUGCAGUUUUGUAAGGACUACUGUGGAAAAUCUACUCCUUCCCGGAAGGAGAUCGCGACAGUUUUGUCGCUAUUAAAUGAGCUGGGGGAGCUGGACUCUCCCUGCCACAUUUUGGAUUCGAGUAGGUGGGACUUGCUCACCUCGGCGCUAUGCCAGCGCGCCAUGGCCAGUCAGAAGGCUACGGAACUUAAAACGUGGGGACUGAUGUUAGGAGCCCUUAAGGCGGCCAGGGAAGAGGACAAACUUGGCGCGGUCAUGAGCGGGGAGGGAGCUUCGGGGAGCGGGUCUUUGGAGUUUUGCAGGUCCGGCGCUCAGACCACAGCGAAAAAAAACGGCGACGGAGAGAGAGGAAGAUUGCGAGAAGGACAAAGAAGAGUCGCAGAGGCUCGGGGGGGGUGCAACGACGCCGACGGCCCCUCCUAAUUCUAUUGCGCUGUCGCCGCCCCCGCCCUACCCUAAGCAGCCGUUAUAUCCUUCCUUGGCAACGACAUCGGAGCAGGGGGCGGGACCAUCCCCAAAAGGAAAGGAGGAGGGGAGACUUAAGCUUACUGAUUGGGGGCAGAUCAAAGAGGAAGUGGCACAGAAAGGCCUGGCGGCAACUUAUACACUCCCAGUUGUUGUCUCAGAGGAGGGAGGCCCAGUCUGGGUCCCGUUGGACCCAAAGGGGGUAGCAAGGAUGAUUGAGGCAGUAGAAAAGAAAGGGCUGAAAUCGCCAUUGACGAUGAAUGCCCUUGAGGCCCUCACAGCAUCGGGCCCAAUGCUGCCUUAUGAUAUUGAAAAUUUAAUGCGCAUGGUGUUGAAACCAGUGCAGUAUACGCUCUGGAGAGAGGAGUGGCAUACCAAAUUAAAACAAAUGCUGAUUACGGCGCAGGGUGAUCAAAGAAACCCCAUAUAUGGGUCCGAUAUACAGAGAUUAACGGGCAAUGCACCAGGUCUGCUGACCCCUCAAGCACAAGUUUGUCAACUUAGACCAGGAUAGUUGAUAGCGACUACGGACGCUGCAAUAGACGCGUUCCGAAAGCUUGCAAGGAGUGCUGAGCCCACUACUCCGUGGACAGAGAUCGCGCAAGGCCCCACAGAGCCGUUUCAGGAGUUUGCAGACAGACUAAUUAAGGCAGUGGAAGGCUCGGAUCUGCCCAGAGCAGUUCACGGUCCCGUCAUCCUGGAUUGCUUGUAUCAGAAGUCCAGUGAAGGGGUGCAGGGGAUUUUGCGAGUGGCGCCGGGGAGGCUCCAAACCCCUGGUGAGGCCAUCAAGUAGGUCCUAGAUAAGCAAAAGGCCUGUCCGUCUGUGGCAGGGGAGGUAGCUGCGGCGGUAGCAGGAGUGAUGAUGGCCUGUAGGGAGGCGGACCAUCAUAGUGCGGACCGACAGUUAGGACCUUGCUUUAAAUGUGGUCAGGCGGGCCACAUUAGGGCCCAGUGCAGAAUGGGUGCGGGUGGAAGCGUAACAUGUCAGCAGUGCGGGCGGAGGGGUCAUACAGCACCACAAUGCAGGGCCCGUAGGCCUCCACGCCAGGGAAAUAACAACGGGAGACAGUCCGAGCACGGUGACUUCAUUUUUCGACCUAUGCAGGCCCCUGACCUAAGUUUACCCAUGGCGGCGCUGUCUCUAAGUACCCAUGAGCGCCCUCUGGUGAAAGCCACUAUUUCUUGCACCAACCUCCCGCUGGAUUUUCAAGGCCCUCGAUCUAUCUUUGUCACUGCCCUCAUAGAUUCCGGCGCCGACGUUACUGUGGUCGCGGAAACAGAAUGGCCAUCCUCGUGGCCCGCGGAGGCCUCGCAGUCUAUUUUGGGGGUUGGAGGGGCGACCCCCUCACGCCGGUCUACCAAUGAGGUACAAGCGGUUGUGAUUAACAGGGAUGGCUCCUUAGAGAAACCGGCGUUGCUUACACCAUUGGUGGCGCGUGUCCCCGGAACUCUUCUGGGGCGGGAUUUCUUGCAACAGAUAGGCAUUCCACAGUAUCCUCUGAACACCUUCAAGGGAUACGUCACUAAUGUUACUGCUUGCGAUAACGACGCCGAUUUAGCCAGCCAAACAGCAUGCUUGAUACAGGCUCUAAAUACAACCCUCCCUUGGGACCCCCAAGAAUUGGAUAUUUUAGGGUCCCAGAUGAUCAAGAACGGAACAACACGUACGUGUGUUACCUUUGGUUCGGUGUGCUAUAAAGAGAACAAUCGCAGUAGAGUCUGUCACAAUUUUGAUGGGAAUUUUAAUGGGACUGGUGGGGCAGAAGCAGAAUUGCGUGACUUCAUAGCAAAAUGGAAAAGUGAUGACCUUCUUAUAAGACCCUAUGUCAACCAAUCAUGGACGAUGGUAAGUCCAAUAAAUGUAGAGAGUUUUUCAAUAAGUUGUAGAUAUUGUGGAUUCACCAGUAACGAGACUCGUUACUAUAGAGGGGACCUUUCUAAUUGGUGUGGUUCAAAAAGGGGAAAAUGGUCAGCGGGGUACAGCAACGGGACAAAAUGUUCCAGCAACACAACAGGUUGCGGUGGUAAUUGCACGACGGAAUGGAAUUAUUAUGCAUAUGGGUUUACCUUCGGGAAACAGCCAGAGGUGUUGUGGAACAAUGGGACUGCUAAGGCACUCCCCCCAGGUAUUUUCUUGAUUUGUGGGGACAGGGCUUGGCAAGGCAUCCCGCGUAAUGCCUUGGGAGGGCCCUGUUAUCUAGGACAAUUGACUAUGCUCUCUCCUAACUUUACCACCUGGAUAACAUAUGGGCCGAACAUUACGGGUCACUGCCGUAGCAGGCGCUCGCUGAGUCGUCUCUCGCCUGGCUGCGGUGAUGAGCUACAGCUAUGGAGUGUGACAGCCCGGAUAUUUGCUUCUUUCUUUGCUCCUGGUAUAGCCGCAGCACAGGCCUUAAAGGAGAUCGAACGAUUGGCAUGUUGGUCGGUUAAGCAAGCAAAUUUAACAUCAUUAAUAUUGAAUGCGAUGCUGGAGGAUACGAGCAGCAUCCGGCACGCAGUGUUGCAGAAUUGAGCAGCCAUCGAUUUCUUACUCCUGGCGCAGGGACACAGGUGUCAAGACGUGGAAGGGAUGUGUUGCUUCAAUCUCAGCGAUCACAGUGAGUCCAUUCACAAGGCGCUCCAAGCCAUGAAGGAACAUACAGAGAAGAUACGGGUGGAAGAUGAUCCCAUAAGGGACUGGUUUACGCGCACGUUUGGUGAUCUAGGAAGGUGGCUCGCGAAAGGUGUUAAGACGCUACUGUUUGCCUUGCUUGUCAUAGCCUGUCUAUUAGCUAUCAUUCCAUGUAUAAUCAAGUGCUUUCAGGAUUGUCUAUCGAGAACAAUGAAUCAGUUUAUGGAUGAACACAUAAAAUAUCAUAGAAUUAGGGAGCAGUUGUAGGUUCCGAACGCGAUGUGACGGGAGCUAUCGGCAUAGGGAGGGGGAGAUGUUGUAUGCGUAGCGAGGGAAACGAGGUGUGACGUGUGCAGGUUCCCUAUGCCACCUGUGUGUUAUGCCACCUGUGUGUGCCAAGUGUAGCUUCGUGAUUGGAGGAAACACUUGUAUUUAAACACGUAGCCUAUAGCAAUUAACGCCAUUUGCCUCACUUACUCCUGGGGUCUGCGUGAGCAUCUGGCCCCGACCUGGUAAAGGGUCGGUUUUGCCCAGCAGUAAGCCCUACAUGUGGACAGAGGACGAACACCGGAUGAGCGAACGGAGACCACAUGCAACAGUCUCAAAGGGAAUUCCUAAAGGUUUCUUCAUCUUUAAUGAGAAAAAUGGCCAUGCAGUGCUCUUGAACCAACUUACUUCCAUACCUAGUCAGGUCAAAGCAAAGUUCUGUCUGCACUGUCUUACCUGGAGCCUACUGGAAGACCUUCUUGCUACAGCUACAAGAAGCACUGUGUCCACAGGCUUUCAUUUUGAUGGAGGAAUUCAAACUCCUGGAGUGCAUUCGGAGAAGUUUCCUGGCCUAGCUAUCAGACAAACCAACCAGAGGAGAAGCAUUACCUGACCAGACACUCACCAUACAAAGGAGAUCAUUAAAUAUAUUAAGAGGUACUGUGAGCUGUAGUGAUAGUGCUCUGAUUAUGUUUGUGAUCUCAAGGAAUAUGGGCAUGGCAAAGAACAGAGACAGGACUCCGCACUUCAGAAGAGUGAUAUUCCAGCUGUUUAAGGAAUUACUGGAUGAGAUCCCCUGGGAAGCUGUCCUCGGAGACAGUGGAGCAGAGCAGAGCUGGCAGCUCUAUAAGGACACCUUUCUGACAACAUAAGAGCUCUCUGUCCCUCAGCAUAAGAAAUCAAGAAGAGGAGGGAGGAAACCAGCAAGAUUGAGUGAGGACCUGCUGGUCAAAAUGAGAAAUAAGAAGGAAAUUCACAGUUAAUGGAAUCAGGAAUGAGUGGCCUGGAAAGAAUACAGGAUUCCAUCUAGACAUGAAGAGAUGGGAUCAGGAAAGAUAAGGCACAGAUGGAACUGCAUUUGGUGAGGGAUGGGAAAAAUAAGAUGGUGGAAUAGAACCUCCUGGAAGCUAUCUUAAGACACAUGUGAGGCAAGGUGAUCUGUGACAAAGAACAUGGUCUUGUCAUGGGCAGAUCACACCUGACCGAUCUGGUGGCCCUCUACGAUGGAGUGUUGGCAUCAGUAGAAGAAAGAGGAGAAACUGGUAUCAUCUAACUGGAAUUCAGCAAAGUAUUUGAUACGAUCCCACACACCAUCCUUAUCCCUAAAUUGGGGAGAUAUGGACUUGAAGGCUGGACUAUUCAGUGGAUAAGGAAUUGGUUGUACAGCGUCAGCCAGAGGGUUGGGGUCAAUGGCUUCAGGUGAUGAGUGGUGUCCCCCAGGGGUCUGUCCUGGGACCGGUGCUUUUCAACAUCUUUAUCAACAACCUAGACAGUAGGAUUAAGAACACUCUCAGCAAGUUUGCUAAGCUGAGUGGUGCAGUUCAUAGAACAGAAAUAAGGGUUGCCAUCCAGAGGGACCUGGGCAAGUUUGAAAAAUUUUGAGAAACUCCUUGUAGGAAGUUUAUGCAUGAUAAAUGAUUAUGAUAUCUGAGUUCCAAUUGGGGAACACUGCUGUAUUUGUGAUGACUUGCUAGGAGUGUGUCAUUUUAGAUCUUGGAGACCUGUCUUUUGUAAUGGGAGCCUGCAAAUGCCCCCAACAAAUUCUUGUCACUGGAGCUGAACAGAUCAUCUGCAUAGUGAACUGUUAGUGCAUAAACUGAUGUUUCCAGAUACCUGCGGUAGAUAUCAAUUAAACCACAGAAAUCUAAUUGUACUUUACAAGAGCUGUAGCACUGUACUGACAAUUAAUUUCAAAUACAUUAAUGGACUUAGAGAUAGGUGCCUGUACGACCACGUGGAAAUCCAAGAGCAGUACUACCUUGAAUUCUUUCUCAAAAAUGAGAGUUAUUGUGGCCACGUUGUUCCUUGGGCUGUGACCCUUACAGUGAUCUUACAUUGGUUGAUGGUUGUCUUUCUGAUCUGAGAAAAGAUAAACUAGAUAAAAUUCCUAAACAAAUAAGAGUAGCUUACUUUUGUGUUGGAUUUUACAUGAUACAGAUGUCCUUCUUACAUUCCCUACUUCCUUUUGCUUGUUCCUAACAUGUGCAUAACAAUAUGACAGCCAUAAAUUGUCAUGACACUUAAACAUAAAGCACCAUUUAAGUCCUUUAUCUUAUCUGCUACUUGGUUCAGGUAAAUAAGAAUAAUUAAUGGCAGCUACACUACCUAUAAUCGUUGUUAUGGCUCUGAAUUAGCUGAUUUUCUGUUCCAGAACCCCAGGGUGAGAGGCAGAAUGCUGGGGAGCAUGAGGGAGAACUUACCGAGUGUCAGCUGAGAUUCUGUGUAUGGAAAUGGAUGUUAGUGAAGGUUAGGACCUAGGACUAGGACAAGGACUGCUAUCGCUACUGCUUUAUUUCUUGUAGUCUGCAGUGCAGAAACAGUGAGCAAUCUGAAAGACUGACUGGCAGUGAGAAUCAUAGGGAAGAGGAAAAAAAGGGACAAGGAACAUAUAAUGCUCCAACCCUCCUCCCCACCUCCAAGUUAAUUCAGUGUGGGCUUUUCUUGAUCAAAGUUCCUACCCCACAAUAUAUUGUAAUUUAUGUGUGUCUGAGGCGUACAGUAAUGCUGAGCUAAUGUGGUUUUGUACUUAAGUAAACAUGUUUUCAGAGUUGCUAAUGCAUGACAGAAAGUGCUGGAUCGAAGUCUUUCCUGAAUUAGAAGAAAGAAAAACAGCUAUUAUAAAAGGAGAAGUGUGCCUGACUGAGUAAUGCUGUAUCAGAAAGUCUGCAAACAAGUAUCUUAGUCUUUGAUAAGGAUCUAUUUUUAUUAAUUCCUGGGCUGAAAACCAAAUAUCCCUUUUUAACCUGGGAUGUUCUGUAGAGCACACAGCUAGUGCUUUUCAAAUUUUUAUCCUGUUUCGUAAGGGUGGUAAAAGACAAUCCAUUUCAGGCUUUAGGAAUGUAAGACACAAACAUCCCAAAUAGGUUUUUAAUUAAACAUAUAUUACCUUAGUUCAUGAUAAAAGAGUAAACAGUGAUAUGUACUGUUAUGGGUAGGAUAUAAAUCAAAUACAACUACUAUAUUUCCAUAUCUAGUGGAGUCUCAGCAUUUUUUUAAUCUGUUUAUCAUGCAACUGAUUAAUAUAUCAUUAAACAAAAAAGGCAUGUUAUUUCUCAUUGUGAAAGGUCCUUUCAUAAUGUUCUUCUGGAAAUCUACUUGGGUAGAGGAGUAUAUCUGCAUACGUGACAGCACAGACAUGAGGUCUAAGUCCUACCAUUAGUGGCAUUUUCCUGCCAUUCUCUUAAAAUGAGAUAGUGAAAUAAAAUACUGACUUUGUUUGAUGUAUUUUUUAUGUAUGUUCUAAAGCACUUCAUCUGAUAAACUAUCAUGAGAAAUGGACCUUCCAUAGCAUUUCCUAAUACAGCACAUGGUUUGGAUCUAUAAAGUAAACCACAAUAAGAAAACCACGUGUUAACAGUGUGGGAACACCAAGAAGAGAAACCUUUCUUGCUGUGUUUUCAAUAUGAGAUUUCUAGAUAGACUAGCACCACUGAUGUCUCUUUCAUCAGUGAGAUAGAUCCCCAUGCUUGGUCAGAGUAACAAAGACAGCUUGAACCAGAAAAGUUAGAAAAUGGAGUGAAGUAUGGGGAAGGAAGCUUUGAUGUAAGCUGAUGAGCUCAGUGGGUAUUUCAUGGGUUCAUGUGUAUAGUAUCCUCAUACUAUAAUGAUGGAGAAGUUUGAAACUGAAAAACAAACAUAUCCAACAAAUCUCAGAGUAAAAACCCAAGUGGCAGAAUCCCUACUUUCCCAGAGUUAUGAGAAACACCGAGUUACACGCUGAGGAUCCAGACAUCAAGCCUCAGACAGCAUUAGACGAUUUCAAAUAAAAGCUAUCCAGUGCAAAAAUAACAGUGAUGGCUUAAGAAGUCCUUCAACCUUCAAAUCACUAGGGAAAAGAGGAGAUUAUUUUGGAGAUGUAAUACUGUGCGCUCAAUCUGAUUUUUCCAUUCUUCUCUGGACAGCCACUGCUAAAGGCAAGAUAAAUUUACCUGAAAGACCUUCUAAGUUACCUUGUUGGCUUGUUUUUAUCUUCUUUUUUCCUAAAUGUAAGUGUGAAAACAAGUAACACCUCACAAUUUGCAGACAGGGAAGAAAUGAGUGUAAAGAAAAUGCAGCAGAUGUGAGCCAAGACAGCGUCAGCUAGAGCUUCCUCCUUGAGUGUAGACCUGAUGCCAGCAGACGGGUAGUAAUUUUGUGACAGUAUAAAAACUCAUAGUCACUGAGAGGGUACAAGCACUUCCUAAAUACACACACACAAAACACAAUCAAAUCAUGAGAGUGGCUGGACCACAAGAUUAUCCACUGCUUGAAGCGAAUGAAGUCAAUGUGAGAGAUAAGAGUAUUCCGACUUAAGCACAUGCUUAAAUUUAUUAAGGCACUUAAAGUUAGGUGCGUGCUCAAGUGCUGUUACUUGAAUGACAAGUGGGUUUAAAGCAUUUUCCCAAGUUGGGACUUUGCAACAUUGAUAGUCAGCUAUGCAACUGGUGAAACUUAAAAUAGAUGCAUGCACACACAAAAAUGCAAAAAAGAGAGUUUCUUUUUAUGUCUGUCUGCUAUGCUUAGUGGGCUUUCUUGGCUAAGUCUGAGCUAAAUAUUACUGAAAAUAGCAUAGUACUGUAGUUAUUUCAAAGCACUGUCUGUAUUUGUUCUGUGCACUGGGUGGGCAGGAAGCUUCAUUUCAUAAAUCACUUUCAACGAGACAGUAGACUAUAAAAAGGGAGCGUUUUUUUCCCUUCAGUGUUUUUCAUUCUCAAGGUUCUGAUCUGGUACAGCCUACAUACUGGGAAAAGUUCAAAAAAUGUUUCCCACUGCUCUGCAGACCUUCCCUUGCACACAAGGGAUCUAGGGAACCACCAGCAGGCACCCCGUGCUAGUGAGUCCCCCAGGUCACGGUGCUUAACUUGCUAUGAGGCAUUUGUCAGCAAAACUGCCGAAGCAUCGUCCCAUUCCCAGCUCCAUGGAAAGGCCUCCACAAGAAGUUUCACAGCGCACUGUCUACACAGGGAACCUGUCUGGUCAAACCAUUGUCCAGCAAAAGAAAACAGGUUGGUUUUCAUGGGAGACGUGCAGAGAUGUGCAGGAAGGAGCAGUAGGGGAAAAGGGGUGAGGAAGAGGGGGGGAGAAAAGCUCGAAUGAUCCAUCAUUUCUCCUUAUAAAUUAUUUGUUAAAACUUUGUUAGAUUGAGCUUUACACUCAAAAAGGAGCCAAAUGCUCCUUGUGGUACUUACUGGGAACCAAAGGGUAAGAGAGACAGAUAUAGUCAUUCACCUGCAGCAAGGGAAAAGUUGCUGCCUGAUUCAACCCACUGAGUCACAACUUUUCCAUUUAAUAUUAAUAAAAAUGGGGUUCCGCACACCAGUACCUAAAAUGCGCCCCUCAGUUUUGGCACUAUCUGUACAUGGGUUUCUAAAGUACUACAGAGAAAUAGUAUCACUGAGUGAGUGGGCUCUACUUAGGUUGGUUGUUUCUCCCCAGCCAGCCGAACUUCUACAGAACAGGGUUUAGGAAGCUCAGGAAAUUCACACCUGCUACAUGUCACACCAAACAUAAUACAGGAACAGCCAUACCGAGUCAGGGCCUCAAAUCAUCCUUUUAAGUCUCUGUUUGUGACUGUCCCCAGAGCUGAAGGCCUCAAUAAAGCACAACCAGCAAUUUUAGCAGAAGCCUUUCCCUGGGCUGCCCUCCCAUCUAUUGGCACUCCACAGCUCACCAGUCUCCUGACCUAAAAGUUGCAAACAAGCUGCUUGCUGUUUCCCACCCAGAAAGCUUCACACUGUUUUGGAACAGCACAUGUCUUCCAUGUUUGCAGUAAGUCCCCAUGCCAGGUCCAAAGCAGGACUCACUGUGGACUCGCUCUGCAUUUGGUGUCAGUGGGUUUAGAAACACAUUCCUCAAGUGCAGCACACUACUAGGGUUCUUGCAGUUCAGGGAUUAAAACAGCUGCAAAGGCUCACUCUGAUCAGAGUGAAUCUAUUUUAUGUAUUCUCCAAGAAGUUUAAUCUUCUAUUUUUUUAAAGAACAGAUUGCUCUCAUUUUGGCAGAAAAACUUGUGUAAGGAGCUCUGGGACAAACAAUAGCAAACUUGGAAUGCUUAAUUUUGAAGCAGGAUUUACUAUUCUUUUUACCCUACAAACUCAGUCUAUGAAGGGGUAAAACAUGGUUGCUUAAAAUAAUUGUAAUUACUCCUCCAGUUGAAUCCAAUCAGGUGGAAUGGAUACUUAAGCAGAGUGUUAAUUAUGAUACCACCGAUGCUAGAGAAAGAAACCUAACUAAAAUCUAAGGCUACGUUCAGUUUACUGCAUGGAUUACACACAGGAUUACACUUUAAAACCACUGCAAGGUUGAAUGAUUUGUUUCAAUCCAAAUACCAUUUUUUUGCACAGUAUUAAGGGAAAUUUUGGAACUGGUAAGCAAGGUAGUCCACAGGAUUGUCCGCAGAGUACUUUGAAUUUGCAAGUAACCAUUUGUAAAUACCAUUUUGUAGACACCAAAACAGAAGCAGCAGCUGGACAUUGAACCUAAAUUAUUUUCAGUUAGGCUGAUGCAAGCAUGCAUACUGCUUUCGUUAGCUGAGACUACUCCAGCAUGUAAGACAACUUGAAGAGAGUUCAUGGCAGAUUACCACCCUUGAAGUUUAGAUUAAUGCUCCAUAUUUAGAACAAAGAUGCACUGGAGGAAUAAUUUUUAAAAAAUUAUUCCAACUCCAGCUUUCUAUGAUUCUAACUACUAGCAACCAUUAGCAACUUGCAAGGCUUGCAGGAAUUCUCAGUCUGAAUGCAACACAACUCCAAAGCUUUUCCUUCUGCAUGGCAGUAGUACUCACUGACCUCAGCCAGAAUUUCUGAGGUUCUCUACUGUUGUUGAGAUCUCUCUUUGUUGCAUUAACUGAUUCUGCCUCAAAAGGGAAAGUGCCCUUUAUAGGCAGAUUAAAACUUUCAAUUCUCUGUGGUAAUUAUUAAAUGAAUCAUGAAACUAAGGCUGCCAGCUGUGCCACGUUAAAUUGCACUCUCCCACGUUCAACAUUCUCUUGCUGAGCUUAGCUCAGAAAGUUUGUCAUUGGAUUUCCAUGAAUUUUCCAAGUAUUGAAGUUUGCUUUUAAAUUCUCUUGCAAUCAUGCAAUCCACACAAUAAGACUAAGCACUGUAAUUUGAUUAACAGAAAAUGAAAAUGAGCUAUCUAGAAAACAGUUUUAGUGGUGAUAUAUUGGCUAACUUCUGUGUGGCUCAUUUUGCAUCACUGUGCUCAGAAAUAAAAUGAAGUCUUUGAAAAUUAAAGCCAGAAAAAUCUCGCCCCAAACCAAGACUCUGAAAUGUAAAAUUAUUAGUUCAAGCUGAGUGAUAAAUGGCAGAAGUUUUCUGUUUUCCACAAUGGUGUAAACAGCUAGUUCAGCAGUGUUGUUGCUAUUGUUACGUAUUUAAAGUUGAAACCUGCUAUUAUAUAUCACAUUACAAAAAAGAGCUCUAGGUUAGACAACAUUUCAGCUUUUCUGUUCCUUAGACUUGGAUCUCAGGCCUAAAGGGAAUAUAUGUAAGACUGUAGGUUAUCACAUUUUACAUAAUAAUUUUGUCCCGUAUAUCUUGAUGGGUGGGGUGUAAAGCUAUUUUUCCCUACUCUCCUGAACAUGCUAGAAUAGUGGAUUUACAUCUUGAUUUUCCGUGCAUCUGUAGAAACAUUCAUUGUACCACACAUCACGUUUCGAGAUCUGGAUAUGCUACAUCGUAUUCUGUCUGAACUCAGGUUGUCCAUUAUCAUAGAAUCACAGCAUCACCAAGGUUGGAAAAGACCUCUAAGAUCAUCCAGUCCAACCAUCCACGUAUCACCAGUAUUUUCCACUAAACCAUGUACCCUGAUACAGCACCUAAACAUUUCUUGAACACAACUGUUCUCUUAUUAUUCUCUUGAAGCCAAAACUACCUGAAAAAUGCUGUGGCUUGGAAAAUGCACAUUUUAUCAUUGAGAUGUCACAUGAGACUUCGUCGGAAUUACUGUGAACUGCACAACCCUACUAAUUGCUUUUAAAAUAGUACCACUGAAAGUCAUCUGCUGAGCCAGCCUUGCAAGGCACAUUGAGCUCUGAGUGCUGAAGUGUGUGGCACAGGCAAGUCCCACCAUGGAAACAUGAUUCGAGACCUUCAACAGGAGGAAAUAUCUUCCAGCAGGGAGAGAUAAAGAGGAGCACUGCAUCACUCACAGUUUCUCUGCCAAGGGAAGCCUUCAGGAAGCAGUCUUCCUUUUGCUCAGAAAAUACGAAACAACGCUAUGAAAGCAAUUUAAGGAACUAUCUGGGAAGCAGCUUAAGGAAAAACACCACCUCUCCCAUGUAGACAGUUAAGGCACUGUGUUUACAAGAUGCGUGCUGAGCUCCCCUCUGGCUUAGCUGAGUGGAAGAAGAUGACCAGUCUAAAUAUAGUAAAAGGAGAUGCAGUGUGUUACAUACAGCCCAUGUAGCUUGUUCAGUCGAGAUUAAUUCAAUGAGGCAGACAGGAAGGUGACAUGCAUGGCUGGAGUGUCUUGGUCAUUUUAAAAUCAGUGUUUUACAUCUAGAUUUCCACUGCCCUAGAAUUCUUUGAACUGUUUCUACGCUUGAUAUGAUUUUCCCAUAUGAAGUGUUCAAGACCUAAGAAAAUGUAACAGAAAGGGCCUCUUAAAUCUACAUAACUCACUCUGCAAAUACAGGACUGGUCUAUAAACCUGCCCACUUCAAGGCUAUUGCACACAUUCCCUGUUUUAGAACCUGCAGAGCCAGUAUCCUCACUCUCUAUUCUUAGCUCAACGUUUCAUACAUCUUAUAAAAGCUGCCUAGAUGUGCACUCAAAAAUCACUCCAUUUUAAUUUGAACCCAGUUUAAGUUAUUGAGUAGCCAGAUGCAAUUAAUCAAACAAUACCUCUCUCCCUGAUGAGAUGACAUUCUCCACGCAUCACUCACAUCUUCCUAACGAGAGGGGCCUAGUUCAAGAUAGGUAUUUAUACAGUAACUGACAUCUCUGUUGAUAAUAAACUUACACUAAACGAGCUUUUCGAAAUCAUAAAUCUCUAUCUUAAAGUGUUCAUCCCCUUUUCAUUCCUACUGAACUGAGAGGCCAGCAAGCUUGCAGUGUGUUUCAUAACUUUGAUUGCUCGUGCUGUUCACUUUCUGAUAAACUAGAGAAUCACCAUUUCUCUUUUGUCUGAGGCAUAUUUUAAGUAGAGCUUGUUAGGAUGAGGAGAUGAUAACCCAGCUGCCUGCUCACAUUUUCUCACAACACAAAACAACACAGUAGUAACCUAUUUGUUGCAUUUCCUGCUUAAACACAUGGAUCCAUUUUGGAAAGAGUUAAAGGAAAUUUUAAAGUUGCUGAUACUCUUGGAAGCUGCUGAUUCUGCUCUGGGCUACAACAGCUUAUGAAAGGAGGACAACAGAGAUCAGACCAGAAAAGAAAGGAAAAGGACAGGGAGGUGAUGGAGAGAUGGCAGAGCUGUGAGGCAACGCAUUCUGUAAACUGUUUCCUCCUGUGACUUGCUGGAAGGUAUAAUCAGUCAUCCGCUGCUCGUUUUUGUGUGUAUGGUGUGUGUGUGUGUGUGCAUGUUUUUUUUAAACACCCAUUGCAAUCCCUCAAGACUACACUCCUAGUUUUACUUUUUUUGGUGGUGAUAGUGUAUGUUUGUGUAAGGGGUGUCAGGGGACUGAAAUUGUGAUACCAACUAGCAAUUUGGGUGUGUGGGUGAAAAUUAACUGUUGUAGUUGGUUAUUUUAUGGGCCCAAAAUAUGGCUGUUAAAAACCCCAACAUUCACCAUAUGAGCUUUCUGUAUCCAGACCAUAAAAUGUCUGGGAUACAUAGACGGGAUCCAAGCCGACUUCCUGCCAUGAAAUUGUGCUUCACUAAUGAUCACUCCAGCCUGUUUUCUAAACUUGGAGACCUCUUGUUUUCCCUAGAGGAUACUACAUUGUUUGUCUUUGGGAAAAAGUGUUUGUGUGCUACAAUUACGAAGUUUAUAGAACUUAAAAAUUCACCCGAAAUGGGACUACUACUUUACACAUAGUUCAACUUGGGUACGAAAAGGAAAAAUAAAGCUACAUUCAAAAGCUGCAGGAAAGCACAAAGGUAAGGGGUGAAGUUGUUGUCUAUCAAAAAUAUAUUUUAACUAAGUGCUGUCAGUUCUCUGAUGGACAGGAGUCUUUCUCCUUCCCCGCACCCUCGUUAUUCCUCUCUCAAAUGCACCAUUUCCCCAACGUACCCAGACACUGCUUUCCUAAUCAAAUAUUUGAAAAGAUGUCACUUUUAUACUAGGAUAUUCUAUGUAUUAUUAUAUAGAAUAUAUACAAUAACUUACAUAUCCUUUAGUUACAUUAUAUAUACUUAUAUAUGCUAGAUACUGCACCUUCUGAACUGCUGUUCAGUGAGCCUCUAUGGAGAGGCUUCUGAAACUGCAUCUCCGCUAUCUGAUGGAUUGCAACCCAAAGAUCUCAGUUGAAAGUACUCAUGCAAUAUGCAAAGAGACUUCGUACAAAGCAAAACAGAAUAAAAUUUUAAAUGCAAAAAUACACAUUCCUUCCUUCGUGUCUCAAAGUACACUGAGAAAGUGUAUCAUCACUACCCUCGUUAGGGCUCUGAGCUGCCUUUGGAGAGGCCAGUCAUUUCUAUGUACGUAUGCUUGGGAGACUGCAACGGAAAGAGUGUGAAAAGGUCAGAUCAGAAAAACGACCAGGGAAAGAAGCAGGUACCUCAGUGAUGUAAUUACCUGUGGCUUAGGCGCUACCUGGCGGUGUUAUCUAAAAGCUAAAUACAUUUUUAAUAAUUUUGAUUAAUCAGGGUAUUUUUCUAGUGCUAGAAGGAUCUAUAUUUAAAUUUCAGCUCAGCUGUGGCUUUGAGGGUCAAAUACAACAUUUUUUUUAUUUCUUUUAAUUGGGAAAGUAGGGUAAUUAAUGCCAUGGAUGGGCGUAUGUGACAUACUGAAUGCUGCAUUAUGCACAGUAAACACGAGUGACUGCGGCCACAGUGCAGGAAAUGCAGAAAGCAAGGCUCUUCUUAAUUCUGUUCACAUACUUUAAAAUAUAGUUGCGUGUAUAUAUAAACAAAUCUAUAUAUAUUAAAUUCAAAUUGCAUUGGCUCUCAUGCAGACUCGUGCAACUGUCAGAGUCACAUAUGAUGCUCCAUAAAACACAGUGCUAGUUAAGAUAGUUCCCUGCUUCUCUGGCUGCUCACACCUGAGGAAUGAAAACACUUUCCAGCAACAUAUAAUUCAGAGUAGUUUGGAUGAGAUUUUUAAUUUGGUCACUCCCUCUACUGGAGACUUUUUGCCUAGGUCUUAUUCAGAUGUUGAUCACGUUAUCAGGCAAUGAACCCUCUCUGUAAUUUUUCUUAUAAUUUCUUUAAAAAAAAAAACAAAGCUUUAUUUAAGGCUGGUGUUGGUGGAUUUUUGUUUGUUUGUUUUUAGGUUUCCAGAGUGCAGGUUGGGUAGAGCUCUACGUGCAGUGAAAUACAAUCAAAUUGCUUGUCAUGACUCUGUCCUAACACACGGUCACACAGUAAGGCAGUGAAAGCUUACUCCCCUAUUCUUUUCAGUGUUGCUUGGUAAAAACCUGAAAACUGAGCAAAGGACAUUGAAGGCUAUAUCACAAAGGGUUCUAGCUUAAGGAGCAGAGACGAUGAGAUUAUUAUGCAUUUUUGUAACCUAUUUGACCUUCAUUGCCUAAACUGAGCAGACUGGGCUUGCUUUGAAGGCCUUACCACCUAUGCAUAAUAUCGAGCCUAGGGAUAGAUAUGUGUAAAUGGUAAAAGCCUAGACAAAGUGUAAGCAGAGUGCAAUUCCAGCCUGCUUUGCUGAGGGAUAUUGAUAAGAUGCAGUAAUAUAAGCAAUGGUCAAAAUGUACCCCAGUAAAUAUAAUUAAUUCCUAACCUGACUAAACAUUGCCGCCUCAGUCACAGAGAUAGACUGAUGCAAAACUUUUUUCAUAGCUUAGUCUGCUAUCAAAAAUGGAAAGACUGGGGUAAUCCAUGAAUGGUCUUGAUGGGAAAUAGUUAAUUCCUAUAAAUUCAAAACCUUUUCAACAGAAAAACUACUCAAUGACAGUACAGCAUUUCUGUUGUUGUGAUGUAUUUAAACAUCUGCCUCUUUGGUCACUCUCACUACAACACUAACCAUGCUCAGAAAUUGCACGUCUUGAGCACUGCAAGCUUUUCUUAGCUAGAUUUGGUUAAGCAAGGACUGUGUUUAAGCCAGGGGCAAGCCUCUGUUAAACACAGGCAUGCAUUCCCAACUGUCUUGCUCUCAGAUUGCCAGUGGAAGUUUUCAUAUCUCCUGCCUGGAUUUUCUUCUGAGCUGCUUACCUCAGUUCUUGUUUGAUGGAACACUUUUCAAGAGGCUGGUAGAUGUUUCUUUGCCUUCUCCCUACUUCUCUCAGUUUCUUCUAGUGCAGUAUAGCCUAUCAGUCUUCCUGUGAAAGGACCUUCUCUCAGUGAAGGCAUCCUGGGAUCCAAUACUCAUCUUAAUCCCAUCUUGAGUUAGCAUCAUUUUGGAAUUCCACCCUCUCUGUGGGAUGAAAAUCUUGUAUUAAGCACAUGAGGCACAUAAUAGGAGCCUAUUAUGUGCCUCGUGUGAAUACUAAAAUGUAAAAUUUAAUGUAAAAAGUCAGAACUUUGGAAUUAGCAACAAUUAAAUCAAAAAGCUAGGGUACAUUGUCCAGUGAUACGAGGGCUUGCUAAAGGAGGUAAUCCAUGAAUUGCAAGGAGUAAUCCAUGACGUUCACACUGCGUGUCACAGGCUUACCUUGCAUCAGGGUAAGAGGAUACUACGACAAUUUGAAUUUUGAAAAGGAAAUAAGGGAUUCUCACAAGAUCUGCAUUUCUAUUUAAUGUAGCGUAAGACCUGAUAUGGAAAAACAGGCAGCAAAAGACUUUGCUCUCCUUACUUAUAGUUGAGAAAGCCUCAGAAAUUAGAAGUACAGAGUAAGCAUGUCUAAUCCCUGACCAGGGUAAGGGUGUUGGAACUUGAUGAUCCUUGGGGUCACUUCCAAACCAAGACAUUCUAUGAUUCUAUCAUCCAAGCAAGAACAUUGGGCACAUAAAGUUAAAAUGAAAAUUCCCAAGGUGAACAUUAAGAUGCUGAGAAUAAUUAUAAAGAAGUGACUGGGGAAAAGAUGGACUGAAAAUGUUGAAAGAGUAAGCAUUAAGUAGCAUUGCUAUUUUAAAUGAUGUCUAGACAACGGGUGAUGGGAUUUUAAAAAGCUGUUGAUUACUCCUCAUUGUAACAUAAACCCAAAGUUCCGAAAGCUUCUGAGAAAAAAACUGGAACCCACCCAACAUUUCUUGAUAGCAAUGGGAAAUUUUCCACUGCUGUCCCUGAAGACAUUUGCUCAUGGACAGAUACAAGAACAGGCUGUUAACGGUGAUCGAACAGGAGAUAAUUUUCCUAUUACGCUAUGACUAUAUUAACAAACCAGCUAAAUAACCUGUGAUGAAUCAGUGUGUAAAAUCACACCGUCAACUCCAAGCCUGCUAUACAGGUGGAGCCCUGCUGUGUACUUAGAUCAAGCAGGAAUUCUGGUGCAGAACAGGCUGGUUUGUUGCACAUUUAGUAGCUGCAAAACAUCUACAAAUGUUAUGUUAGGACACCUGAAACCACCAGCUGUACUGUUUCACACUGACUAUGGUAGCUAUGAAAAAAAAACCAAGAAGGCUUUAGGUAAAAGAAAAGGAAAACAUGACACGAGGCACAGUAACAUAAGACUGACUCAAGAUGAUGCACUAAGUCAGAAGGAUAAGUAGCAGUGCAUUAUAACCUCAGGUAGCUGUCGGUCAAAUUCUCUCAAAUUGAAGUCUCCAUGUUUCUCUUUGGUGUCAAAAGUUGAUUUCUCCACCCAGAAGGGUGUAAAGCACUGUGAGCUGCUUCACUCUUCAAGUUGAAGAACAUUGCCUGAGAGCAUGUGGUGUGCUCAGACUCUUCCCUUCCUUCUCCCUGAAAUGGUGCUGGCCUUGAAUAUUAAGUAAAUAAGCAACCCAAGGGUUCUGACUCUGGGCAGCCUGGUCUAGUGGUUGGCAACCCUGCCCAUGGCAUGGGGGUUGAAACUAGAUUGCCUUUGUGGUCCUUUUCAACCCAGGCCAUUCUAUGAUUCUAUGAAAGAAGGUCAAGAGAAAAAUUGCUAGGCAAUCAUUUUUUGCCUCCUGGUUAUCUACAUCAGUAGUACAGUCCCCUGACCAUCCAGCUCGCAGCCUCUGGAUCAGACGUGGGCAUAAAGCUCAGCUGAAAUACAAGCUAGUAUUGCCAAUCCAGUUCCAAAAAGCUACAGAACAGAGACAUUUCAGAACUGGGUGGUUCUUUUCCCCCAAACUGUUGAGAAACCCCAGCUGAAAACGUGGCAAAGAAGAGCUGUGAACAAUUGGGCCUCAACUUGUCUGUAAAUCCCAGUGAAAUGAAUUAAUGUAGACUAUUUUUUUUCCAGUCAAAUGAACUCCUUAGCCUGCUACAGAUUUUCAUAUGUACUUCCUCAAUUUAAGAGUUUUCAGGCUCUCUCAUCUGUUCCUAACUACAUCCUGUAAUUUCCAGUGCUGGUUGCUGCACUUUAAAUCUGGACAGCACAGCUUACAUGUACUUAUCAGUGACUCAUCCACAUAUUUGAAGAUCUUAAGAAUGAAUCACAUAUACAUGUUUGCUGAAUCCCCUCUGCUGUCUGUGAAGAAAGGCUCACACUGACGGAAUGCAGAACAGAGCAAGACGAGAGACUUUGAUGUUAAGGGACUUUAUAUGAGUGUGUUCUCUGAAGAGACGAUUUAAGCCUGUUUAUUAAGUCAUGCUGACUUUGUUGUUAAGCUCAGACAGGGACACCUUAACACAUCCUUCAGUUUUUUGGGCAGUAACUGAGCAUGAGAUACAGUUAAAAUGUUUGCUUUUAAAUCUGGUAUUUAAAAUAGGGUUGGGGUUUUUGUUUGUUUGUUUGCUGCUGUUAUAACAGCACUCUGUCAAAUCACAUCAGAGGAGAAAGUGUCACUCAGCACAAUAGGCCACAGUCUGCAUGUAAAUUGUCUUAAAUCUUCUCUUUCAAAUGUCAGCUGACAAAUCAAAAUGAGAAUAGGCUAUGCAGCAAAAAAAAACCCAGCCAUACAUUAAAGACUUAACACAAGGCUCCUGUCUACUAAUGUCUGAGAGCUCCAAAUGCAGAGAAACCACACAGAGUUAAUGAUAAUUGAUAUCAUAUGGUCUUUAUCAAAGCUUCCUCAAGAAAAGCAGCUUAAGGGAAAAUCCGUAAAUGUGUGUCUUGACCACAGUCUACCAAUCUUCUUCCGCAUUGGAGCCUUUAACUAAUUUGUUGGUUUAAUUACUGAGGCACAGGAAAGUUUGCAAGAGUGAUAAUUGCAUAUUCUUUGAUUGCUGAUCAUUACAUUAAGUGGUCUCUAUGAAUUAAAAAUAAAACCCAAGUGCCAUGUGUGCAUCUAGGAAACCAGCCCCUAUCUAAAUCUGGACAUACAAGCUUACUACUGCUGGCUGACGGCACAAAGCAAAAAAACAACAGUGAAGUUCCAAAAACCUGUAAUUGCUGUGACAGUUAACUGCAGCCUAUGAAAUUUUGGGAUUCAAAGUGGGUCAGGCAAGAUCAAUGAGACAUCGGGCUCUCGUUUAAGGGCAGUUUAGAGGCUUGUUAGGUAACUUCUCAUGUGCCACAUACUUACAUCUUUAAUUGGACCGGGUAGUAUAGCCUACUGCACAAUUCUGAACUAGCGCCAGAGGAAUUACUAGAAGGUCAAACGGAAGAGAGAGGCAGGGGGAGGAGGAAGUGGUAAUUGAAGAGACAAGAGAUGAUUGUGAAAGUACUUGGAGGAGCCUGUGUGUCUGGCAAGAUGCAAUGGGCCAAGCUACAAACAGGAGGCAAGGCACUUACUGGAAUAACGUCUUUGCUCACUUCCCUCCCAGCCUAGAGCAAUGCCAUCACUAACUGACCCCACCAGCUGCCAAAGUAACAAAGCACUCUAGUGGCUAAUUAAUUGCAGUAUCUACCACAGUGUUUUGCCCAGAAAUAUGGGCUGUAUGAUCACACAGUGAUCAAGCAUAUAACUACAGAUGGCUCUGGUAAAAUACCUUUGCCUUCAAGAAAGAGAGAACAGCAAAGAGAACAGAAAUGAAAAGUAGAGAGAUGACAGCAAAACACCAUAGCCAAAAGCUGAACAGUCUUGUUUCAGUUCUGGUUCAGCUUAGAGGAGGCUGCCUGUGCUUUCCACUGUCCAUCAAAAGGACCGUUUUAUAAAUGUUUGCAUCAUUCUGCAAUAAAAGUUGGUCACUGUUCACAUAGAAACCUAGGAUCAGACCUCAUGCAUCAAAAUAGUUUCUCACAUACAUUAGUUAAGAAAAAAAUGAAAUGUAGCUUGAAAUAUUAAAAAAAAAAAAAAGCUUACUUAGACUCCCCCCCCCCCCCCCCCCCCCCAAUUGGUUACUUAGAUCCUAUUUUAUUUUUUUUCCCUACAAUCAUAUCAGGAAGAUAGAGCUGAUGCCAUGGGAAUAAUGGAAGAGUUCAAAUCACAACCUGAAACACAAAUGGGAAAAGAGACUCACAGAAUCUCAGAAUGUCUGAGGUUGGAAGGGAUCUCUGGAGGCCACCUGGUCCAACCUCCUCAACCCCUGCUCAACCAGGGCUACAUCCAGCAGGUUGCCCAGGGCCAUGUGCCCAGGCACCUUUCAAAGAUCUCUAAGGAAAGAAACUCCACAAUCUCUCAGGGUGACCUCUGUGCCAGUACUCUGUUAGGCUCACAGCAAAUGCUGAGCCUCCUCCAGGCUAAACAGCCUCAGUUCUCAGCCUCUUCUCAUAGGAGAGGAGCUCCUAUCCCCUCAUCACCCUGAGCGUCCUGCAUUCAACACUUCCCAGUAUGUCCAGAUGUCUCUUGUACUUGAGUUUUGUAACGUCCUUGUUAGCCCAACUCUCCAGCCCACCAAGGCCCCUCUGGAUGGUAACACAGCUUUCAGGUCACUGGGAGAACAGUGAAGGGGCACCUUGCGUCACAGAGAACUCAAAGUGCAAAAGCUUUAAAACCAGAAAAGGCUGCACUGGAAAUCAUGAGAGAAGAAUUUGAACGGUAGCACUAGAGGUGGCAACUGAGAGCCCAAGAGACAUCAAGAGACAACAAAAGAAGCUACAUUCAAAGUAACAUAAAUCAAGAGUCGGAUGAUUACAGUUAAUCAGAGCAAGCAGUAGCAAAUGUUGAAUAUCUAGUCUGCCUGACUGUGAGUGGACCAUUUACCUAAGAGAAAAUCUGGCAUUUAGAGCACUUUUAGAGCAGCCCUAAUUUUACCCGUUUCUUAGGUUUCCAAGGAUUGCUCAUGCAGAUUGAAUGGACUCAGUAUCUUCAGCAUUCUGCUAAUCAUUGUUUAUUAGUGUUACCUUAUACCUGGAAAACGUACUUUAUAAAUCCCCCAAGUCAUAUUUCUGAAUUAUCACCACCUCCACUCUGUGUAGUUAAAAAACUUUACCUCGGUUUUCAGAAUGUCUCCUCAGAUCUCCAUGCACCACCUUUUUCUUAUGUAUACAAACACACUGCUUUGAAGAAGCUAUUCUAACUUGCAGUGGUGAAUUUAUGAUGCCAAAGCUAUAUAUAGGCAGAGAAUGGAGAGCUCCUUAAGCAGCAUGCCAAAACUGGAUUUGAAACACUUUGUUAUUUGAAAGCAUUAAAUAUAUAACAAUGUUAUUACAGCUAAAGCCCCUAUACUGUCUUGAAUUUUUUUCCUUCAAAAAUAUGGAUGGGAUGCAUAAACAAGAGGGCUUGUUGCUUGAACUACUUUGAAAGGUGCUUCCAGAGCAAUUUCCAUUCUCAAAAAGAACAUGCAUCUAUAAUUAAUAAACUAUUUGUUUUUAAUGAGUUCUUUUUUUGUGCAACAUGUACUUUCAAUACAGCUAUGAUAUAUCUAUAAUGCACACCACUUGCCAAGACAGAUGCUACAAUCACAAGGAAAGGAUAUUUAAGUGUUUGUGCAGUAUUUUCAGAGUUGUACUGUAAAAUGCAAAGCCACAACAGUUAUCAUCAUUAAUUCAAGUUUAAGGGCACAAAAAAUUCAAUAUUAAGUACUGUCCUCUACAACUGCUCUGAGACUAAUGCACUGAUAUUCUACUGUGUAAAAGUAUAGAUAGCGUUUCUGCUAAUGGGUUUUUGAAGCAUGCACCAAACACUAAAACACUUGCAGACAUAUCAACCAGCUUUUUUUGCUUGUGAUCCGUUUCACUCUGCAUUGUCAUCACUCAUGGGGCAAAAGAUAUUGGCAGACCGAGACCAAACUUGGAGAUGUUGACAAGAACUUGGUAGCCUGGUUACAAAGAGGAAAGGAGUUAAAAAAUUUAUGCUGACACUGAACAGUAGGUCUUUAUGACACUCCUCGCUUUGUAUAAUUCUGUUGCAUCUUCCCUUGUCAUUCCUUGCACAGAAAUCAUGCAAAGCUCAGAUAAUCCUAGCAAUCUUUUCUGGAGUUCUUCUAGUCACUCACAUCCUUUUAGGGAUGAAAGGACCAGGACUCCAAAUGCUGCUUUACACAGACAGUGCAACAGAUUCACAGUGUUACAGCGCUCUCCAAUCCUAACGUUUGAGUUUCUCCUUCAGCUUCUACUGCAGCCAGAAAACGAUUUCCAUACAGGUGGAAAUAACUGCAGAGAGCUUAUCUUUGCAAAUGUAAAGAGAGCAAUUCUCUCACCCUCCUGUGUAGCACCACUUCAGCUGCUUUGUGUAUCUUGCCACACAAGUCAUUUAAUUGCCAUGUCCUUUUGCAGCCCAUUGUAGUUGACCCUCAGCUCUAUUCCCCAAAAAUGCCCGGUAUCAUGAGCACACUUUGCCAUCAUAUGGUUCACACUCUCCUCCCACUCACUGCUGGGUAUUUGAACAUGAGAAACCCCUGUACAACCUGCUGGGUGGAGUUUCCCAUUCUUUUUCUUAUUGAACCCAUGGCUUGCACAUUUAUAAAACUAAUUAUUACCUUCUUCCUUUCUUUUCCUUUCAUUCUAAGGGCACCAUCUUGCUCUAGACUCCCUCUCCUCAACCGUGCAGGCAAUUUGCUAAAGAUCCUUCUUAGACCUUUGUUGCUUUAUUGUGAAUUUAGCUAUCGAUACCGUCUUUUGAUAACAGGAGCUGGAAGUACUUUGUUUUGAUAUUUUUGAUGUUCACGUUAAACAUCAUCGGCUCCCAGCAAACAAAGAUCUGGAAGUUGGCUUCACAUCUUGUCUAUAGACAGCCCAGAAAUCUAUCAGGAGACAAGGUGACUGCUUCUUCCAAGUCCAUUUCAGUCUGGUGCUUUCAAGAGGAUCAUGACUGGAGCAGAGAUUUCUGGAACCCGAGCCAAAAAGCACUGAAACCUAAGUGUCAAUCUAAGCUAUUGUAAAACACGCACCAUUCUGCACUGGGGUUGAAGCCAGUUAAUGCUUCCACGUUAAUUUCUUUGUUUCAUAUGCCACUUAAUUGCUUAGUGUCUUGGGUCGUAUCUAUCUAUCUAUAUUAUCUUGCAGAAAAAAACUGGGAUGCCUUGAACUAUAGCAGAGUAAGAUGUGGAGGGAAGAUGGGACCACCUCCAGAUCCCUUAACACAGGUCUCUUACAGUCUGGGGAAGAAAGUACAGAGCAGAAUAUAUUAUGUAGUAGGCUCUCAGAUUUUCCAAUUUUCUUUGGUUUUAAGUAGCUCUGCCACCUGCCUGCCCCACUAAGGUAGUCAGUCUGAUAGAGCAGGACAGAAGAAGACUGCCUCAGCCUGCUCCUCAUGAGAAUCAUAGAAUCACUAAGGUUGGAAAAGACCCACAGGAUCACCCAGUCCAACCAUCCACCCAUCACCAAUAGUUCUCACUAAACCAUGUCCCUCAACACAAUGUCCAAAUGUUCCUUGAACACCUCCAGGGUCAGUGACUCCACCACCUCCCCGGGCAGCCCAUUCCAGUGCCUGACCACCCUUUCAGAGAAGCCUCACUGCAGAUCAUAAGCUCUGAGUUUUAGCAGCCCAAACUUUCCUAUGAAGUCAGUGUUCCAGCACUCCUUUAAAUGCAGAGUUUAGUCUCCCUGCACUGAAUUUGGCACUACCAGCAUAGCACAGAAAAGGCUUCACAGGAGGCAGAAUCAGGGCAGGAGCAUUUUCCAUGCAUUUUGAGAUUUUUCACCAGUAGCAGACAUGACUCGAAGUCCCUCUCCACUGAACCACCAGUUACACGCAAAGCAUCUUUCUGAUGCUCCUCAGUGGGUGUCCGUAAAGACCUUCUCCCUUUACCAUUAGAUCACAUUACCGUAUUCUUGCUGAAAGUUUACCUCAUCCUGAAAAUAAUUUGGUUACUUUAGCCUGCUAUGUGGGUUUGACUGCAAGGACUCUGUGUUUGCAACUUACUGUUUUAAAUGAAUUUAAAUGGCUCUGACUGAAAUUGAUAUUCAAUGGGAAGUAGUUAAUCAUUAAUGAUAUCCCUACAUCUAAAAUCAAACACAGACUGAUGGGCUCCCUAUCUCAAUAAGCUUCCACCAUCGGGAGAUAGCAAAUGGGACUGUAAGUCAGUGUAAACACAAGGCAAAAGAGAAAUGUAAAUUACAUGGUUUAGCUUAGUGGGCAAAACUGAAAUACUUUUCAUGCUACCUAGCCUGCUCUGUGGAGAUGAAUACGUUCAUCCCUCAUAUAAAGCACAUACUUGACAUGACUUGUAAUAGGGCCCUAAACACAAAAGAGAGUCAGCUGACCACAUAGCCCCCUCUGCCCAUAUUCCUGCACAUUAAGAAACAGACUAAAAUCCUGAUGACCUACUAUCAUAAUCAGAAGGCAAAAAUGUUUGAUUUUUAUCUUGCUGCUCCUCACAAAUCACAAGUCUGCCACAAAAAUUCCGGGUCCACAAAAAUUCCCCUCACUCCAAGACAUUUUAUAUAGAACUGAAUGUACCAUAAAUGAACUGCAACUUCAUGUUUGUAUCCAAACACUGAUACAACAUUAUUUCUGGAAAUAAACAGUCUCAUCCCUCUUUUACAUUAAAUCAAUUCAUUGUUUUUCCGUUUGUAUUCUUUGUGAUGUUCCUCCAAACACUCCACAAAUUACCUAGCUUUUAGAAAGCCAGGAGCUGUUUGCUGUUUUUUCCCCCUCCUCUUUAAACUUGAAUGCAGCUUGAGAUUCUUAAGAUCUCACAUUAGGUUUAACUGCUUCGCUGUAGACCUGGUGGCACCAUUGAGCAAAAGGGAGGGUUCUGACACACGGUGAAGAUGUGCUCGUUUCUGUGGCCAACAAAGAGCCAAGGCGACCCCUGUUAUUACGGCUAGUGAGACUAGAUUUACCAUAUUAUUAAUCAUUAAAGUCUGACUCAAAAUUCAGACUGGCUUGUACUUAUUCCUUGGGUCAGGGAGCUUUAUCAGAGCUCAUUAACUGCAUUGGGCUUCUCAUUUACUCAUUCUGCAGCAAUCUUUUUCCUAAUGCGUGAGGGGAAAAAUGAAACACCAGUGAUUUAACUGUUUGAGGGAUAUUUACUGCUUGAUCUCCACAAAUAGAAGCAGCAGGAGUAUUUUGCUUGUCAAGAGGACGGUAAUUCUUCAAAUCCCUCUUAAGAGAUAAUGACUGGCAGCGUAAUGCUUUUGAUCUGUCAUAAUUAUAAAAUAAAAGAGAAUGGAUGCAAAGCUCACGUGCCAUGGGAAGGUCAGUUGCUUUUAAAUGCCUAGGAUUCCCUCUGUGGCUAAUCCCAGCAUGUCCUGAACACAGGCUAUUUUUAGGCACAAUUGUGGGUCCGUUAGACAUCCUGUUCAUAUAAAAUGAGUGCCUUACUGGUGAGCUUCUCCUGUAGGGCAGCUAAUAAGUAGGUAGGAAAAUGACAUCUCUGUACUUUUGACUUGCAUGCUGUUGCAAGGAAGGACAGCAGGAACGUCUCCUCUCUGGCGUCAAACAGUCCCCCUGCAGCACACACACAAUUUAAAUUAUUACAAGUAUGAAUGCCGGCACAAAAUAAAGUAAUUACAUUUAAUUAGGCAGCCAAAAAAGUGAUGGCCUGGGACUCCCUGCCUUAGAUGUAGCCUUUUGUUGACUUAACACAAGACAGGUAAUGAAUGAAACUUCAAAGUGUAAGCAACUGAAUUGCUACUUAAUUAGCGGAGCCCUAGUCAACAACACAGCAAAACACAACAAAACAAAACCCUCAAUUUUUAUUUAUUUUUGUUGUUAAACGAAUUCUAACAGCUAUCUCAUGCCUCACAGAAAUAACGAAAUUAAAGACUGUUCUAUUAAGAUCGUGUUUGUGUUCAAAAGUACAGAGAUGUAUUUUGGUUGUGUUAAUGAAGAGCCCCUGAAAGGUGCUAGAUUGGCAGCCCUGGAGCAUGACAUUACCCACAAGAGGACUUGGUGCAAACAAGUCACUAGCUCACAAAUCUCACUUCCCUGCCAAGCAUCAAGUACAGGGAGUCAAUUCUAUCAGUGUUCUGAUCUGCUGGUACAACCGCACCAAGAAACCUAGCAUAGGGAGAGAGGUUUCAGAAGUCAGAAAUGAUGAAAGACAUAGAUAAAGAAAAGUAGGUAUAUUGAAACACUGAUUUUCUUAUGAACAAGUCUCUCUGAUUUGCUUUUUCAUAUCUAGAAUCCCAUAGGUUGCCACAGCUCAUCUCUGGAAUCCUUUUAUGCUGCCAUAAACUUCCUACUGCUUUGUUGUACAACUGAAAGUGAAAAGCAAAGUGCGCCUGAAUAGCACAGUGAGUUCCUCUAUCCUGUCAUCUUUGGGCCAGCAUUUUAUUCUAACGUCAGAGAUGAAAGCAGGCUGUUUAUAGUUUUCAUCCCAUUCCUCAAAUGCUUAUGUCAAAAAGUCGGGAAUUUUAAGUUUCCCCUCCUCAGAAGCACUCAGGAUGGACUGGUAGGAGCCUCAGCAACCACUGCAGUCUUUACUUCAUGUCUGCCUACAGACAUAUUUUUCUUUGGAAGAUCAGCUAGAAGGGAAAAAUAACAUGUAGCAUUAAGAUUUCUGCCUGUCAGAGGUUUCCUCUCUCAGCCCUCUUCAGCUCAACAGCCCACUCAUCACCAGCUAACAGGUAGAGUUUUGUUAGGGGGCUUCAUAUUACGUCUCAGAUAUCACAAGUUAAGACUGACAACUGCACAUCCCUCUCCCUCUGCACCUCACCGAAACAUGACAUGGAUACCAGUUUCUGCAGGGGUGAUGCGAAGAUCAAAAACAUAUUCCACAGCCACCUGUGGUUUGCAGUACAAAUAGCGGUAACGAUGCAUCUGCUCUUCAAAGAUAUAAAAUUAGUACCUACAGAAAGCAGCACUGUGUGUUUGCUAACCUUUUCCCCAGCACUAUGGACAACACUGGACUUACAGCUUUGUUAGUAUACUCUUCUGUCAAUAAACACAGCAGUUUGGAAAUGAUUCUGCUGCAUCACUGAAGUCAACAGGAUCAUGAUGUAGUCCUCUGCACUGUUUCUUUUAAGGACCAUGUCAGAAAAAGACUCAAGUGCAAAAUAGAGAGAGGAGACGAAGAAAUUCAACAGAGUUUCAGCAAGUUCUGGAACAGACAAAGCAAGAACAAGUACGGCACUAAAAAGACCUACGGGACAGAAGAAACUGGAUUUAAAUUAGACUCCUCAUAGCAUAGGAAAGACUUUUGCUGAGAGAGAAAUUCUGAAGUGUUAUUUGAAUUUUUGUUUUCCAGGACCAUAACUGCUUCCUCAGUUUAUCAGCUGUACCUGCAAAGGUGGUAGUCAGGUAAGACUUGAGAAAUCUUCUGCAGCUCUCCUUUGCUUCUCUUGUACUUAAACUGCUUGCAGGCCAGAGGAACGCUAAGCCCCACAUGCAGGCUUAACUUCCCACACAGCCUGACAAUUGCAAAGCAAGGAAUUACUUGGUAAUGAAUAUGAUAGCCACAAAUACCAAGGGGUUAAAAAAAAAAAAAAAUCACAAGAGAAGAAGGAAUAGAAAAGAAAUAGAAGAAACAAAUGUUUGUACAGAAGUAUUGCUUUCCUUCUAUGUGAUAAAUUCAGUAGUAUUUAGGGUUAAAAAGGAGGCCUCAUUGAGAAAGCCAGCCUAAAGCCCAGUAGCUUAGUAUUUCUGCAGAUCUCUGUGAUCCUAAAAUGCAACUUUAAUAAAAAGACAUACAAUUAAGUUGAGAGGCCUACGAUUGACUGAAAUUCACUGCUUCACAAUUCAGGGUGACAGUAAGAGAAUUGCUUUGCUCAUAUUCAUUACAACAUUAUAAAAAGGUUUUUGUCUUCUAAUACGAGCUUUUUGUGGGGGACAAAGAGGUUUGCUGCCAGAAAAAAGUUCAACAAUUUAAUGGCAAAGCCAGUUACAGCCUAUCUUUAAUGCACUUGCAAAAAUUAAUUCCUUUCACAGUUGACAGCAAGUUUUAAGCCAACUCCGUCCUCUGGAGCAGAGACAGAUUUAGAUUGCUUCAAGGACAGGAGCACUCCUCUAUCACCAUCUCAAAGAGACAUCCUGGCAACAGCACAGAGACCUUAUGGUGCCUGACUCUCAGCUGCUAGCACAUCCAUGCUGCUGAAGCGCUGUCAGGGACAGAAUCACAUCUACUAAAGAAAGUAAAAAGAAUUUCUGCAAAGAGUUUUCAUGCAGAAAAAAAUUAUAGUAAACCAUCUCCUUUUUUUUUUUUUUUUAAUUAACUUUAAUCAAAUUCUUUCUCCUGUCUGAGCAGACCAGCUUAACUUUGAGAUAGGAAACUUUACAUUCUACCAUGCAAUUCCAUUGUGUACCAGUAAGGUCUCCAUCAGAGAGCUGUGUCCUUACAUUUUGGGAAAGGUAAGGACCAGCUGAAGCAAGCCCAGAAAGUCUUUCCUGUGGCACCCAUCAGGAAUAACUUGUCUUUUCCAUUCCUUUUUGACUGACAGAGAAGACAUACUAUAACCAUCCUCAAAAAGAUAAAAAGACACUGCAGGCCAUAAGGAAAUGAACUGCCUAUCCUAGGGGUGUGCCAUGGAUAAGAUCAGAAGUAAUGGGUUUAACGGAUUGUUAAAUACUGGGAGAGCGUAUACGUGAAAACUACAAAGCUUUGGCAACUGAGACAACACAAGAAUCUCACAGGAAUAACUUAGAUUUCCGACUGGGCAAGGCGCAGGCCUUGAAGACUCACAAGGUCCCUUCCAGCCCUCUUUCUUCUAUAACACUAUUUUCCCAGUGUUUAACAUUUCUCAGAAGAUAGGGAAAUACCUACUAUGCCCAAGCAGAGUCACACCCCAGCCAAAGGCUAAAAAGUGAGACGGAGUCCUCAGCAUCCUCAGGGGCAGAGUUCAAUCUACUUUGGCAGCAGAAGAACAUGCCCUGGAGGAAGCAAAGCAUGUGAGGGUAGUGCACUGGGGAUUGAAGUGUGAGGGAUGAGGAAAAUCCCUCUUUCCAUCACUCGCUUUCCUUCUUCCUUUGAGGCAUGUGCUAACAGCCCUGCACAAGUCCCCUGUGUACUCCUUUCACACUGUGUACUCCUACUAUACCUUCUACUCAUCUCUGGAUCCACCAGUCCUCUUAAAUAAAGUGGGAAGGCAGGGGGAGGAAGGCAGAAAGUUGAAAACAGUCUCUCCCCUCAACACAUAAAAGAUGAAAGAUAGAGCUGGGAGGAAAACUAGCAGAGAUUUUGGAGGGUAGGUCUUUCUCUGCUGCUGCCUGUAAGGUAGGAGGUAGCAGCUACUACAGGAAAGGUUCAUUCUUGCUAUACAGGCAGGACACUCUCCUGCAAGGCUGGCACAGCCUCUGACUGUGACCUGAGCCGGAUCAAGGUGAUGGACAGCCUGAACUCUGACUUGGAUUUGCAGACUCAGGGGGUUUACACCCAAAUUUCUUCUUGGGGGCUGCAAACAGGAGCUCCCCUUUGGCAGACCUUGUGAUAUCAGGAAGUAUAUAACAACAGAUACCUUUCACUCCACACUUGAUGAGGUUUGUGUGGAUUCAUGCUAAUACUACAUUUCCAAGACAAUAUAUAAACUCGGUCUGAAAAGGCCGGAGAAUGAGAAGGAUGAACAUGCGAGCCUGAAGAUAACCUUGAAUCACCCUUAUGUGUGUACACUCAGAUAAUGCAUUAGGAAGCGCACUUGUGAUAUUUUGAUAGUUAAGCUCUGUAUGGGUAUUCUUCCCUCUCUGUAAGUUAGUAAAGCCAGUGCUAUGUUAGACACAAGUAGAUCUUUCCAAAACAAACUGGCCAUUUGCCAAGAGAGGUUUACAUAUGGCACAAGCAAGGCAGCGCAGAGGUGCGGUGAGCAGCUUCCAUAACCCAGUUAUUGAGGAAUGCUGUGCUAAAUUCGUGCUAAAGAUAAAUCAUCUUUAUAACCUUCUUCACCAGUUCAUCCUAAUCCAAAUUUCUGAAUGUGGGCCACCCUGUGAGGUAUGGCUAUUUGGAAAGCAACAUGAGAACAGACGUUUCCAUCGAACCAGUCCAGCUUCAAAAGACAGCCCAAAGGCAUCUUAGCAUAGGCCUGUACAAGCAAGAGGGAGGGAUCAGCAGCUCACCCUAACACCAGAGCAACUCACUCAUCUUUUCAACCAAAGGCUAAUGCCCCAGUUUACCUCCCUACUCCUUCAUGCUAAAGACAACUCUGAGCAUACCACCAAAAACUCUGAUUUUGUCUUUUCUAAUAACCCAGGAUUGUACUAAACUCUGAAGCACAAGAAAAGCCAGAUUUGUUGGAUGGCCUCAAACAAAGGGAUACAGCAAAGAGUGGAGGUAAAAGCAUACAAACUGGCAGCCUAGCAUUUCAUUAGAAUUACUUACUUAUUCCAAGGCACAUAGAACAUGCAGAAAAGAGCUUUUGAAGGAAGGGCUUCAAAAAGGAAUUUUCCUACGCUGCUUGUAUCAUGUAAGUAUUCUUCCAAUCACGUUUGCUGCAGUAAAGGAAUUGUUUUUAGUUGCUAACAGUUUUAAAGUCUUAGCACACUACACUUUUGAGAAGCAAUACACCUCCAUUGAAUUUGACAGGUAUUUUCAGCUCUAUAAGAGAACCAAGGCACUAAUAACCUAAUGAUAGUCUGCCCUAAUGUCACUGAGUAUCUCUUGUCACUAAAGUAUGGACAAGCAAAUCUAAAGAGGCAGCUUUAUAAAUACUUCCUCACUCAGGAAAAAAAGCCACAGGAAGAAAACAGGUCUCAGGAAAUGUAAAAAAACCAUCGUUUUCAGAUUAUUGCAAGGGGAAAUGGUCAAAACCAUGCCCAUUUAGAGUAGCACUCUUCACCUUUUCAACACAAAAUUGGAGUACUUUUCUAAAAGCAGAAAACUUCAUAAUGUCUCGAAGAGGUAGAGGAGAAAAUCAGGCAGUUAAGGAGAGCCAGACACCACAAACUCUUGUGCAUUGGAGACAGGGCAUGAUAAUACUUAAAUACUAACCAUGAUGUCAGAUGAUGAUACUGGAGGAGACAAAGAGAAGGAGGAAAGGGAUGUUUUUUCAGGCUGAGAUCCAGAACAGCUCCUGUUCUCCACCAUAAAAGCUGGAGGAGCACCACAGAGCCAUUGCAGAUUGAAGACAAUGAGUUCUUUGCUGUAAAUCAGGAUGCUCCUUUCUAGCGCAAUUAAAUAUUAGAGUCAAUUAAUUCUAUCAAUGUACUUCAUAGUUCCCUAUUAUGUAUUUCUGUGAUUAUGUGGUUUCUUACAGCUUAAAACACUAGAUUUGUUAAAUGUUGAGUACUUCAUAACUGCAGUUACUCUUCUGACCUGCAGCUGUAAGCAAAUACAGUUUGAAGUAAUUAGACUGAAACACCCAAGACUCAGCAACCAAAGCACAGAACAGCUUUUAAUUGAGAAAAGUUCAACUGUACCUUUCUACUCCUUAAAUGGGCUUAAAAGCUUAGGUAGAAGCAUCUGUUUUUUGAAACACACAUGGUUUUUACUAUCCUAUAUUCUUGUUUAGGAGAAGCUCACCAUUGCUACAAUAGCAGCGUAAAUGUACGAAAUGCUUGUGGUCUACCAAAGAAAAGGGAGCACAAGGGCAUUAAAAUCCUUGCAGAAACCAGAGCACAUAGACUGGCACACUCUUUUGGGCCAUGUGUACUGGUUACAAAGCAACAACAACAAAGAUAUUACAACUGCUUUGUUUCUAUGAUUAUGUUUCACCUACAGAUGCCAUUAUUGAAACUUGGUAAGUGUGGAUUUGAUUUUUGCAAGAUUGAAAGAUGCUCUUAUACACGCACAUUAAAUAUUCACUGUGGUUUUUCUUACUAGAGGAUAAGGGGCCACACAAAAGAAAUAUUAAGAGUUAAACCCUGAGGUGAAAACUUAUCUGCAGCCAGUGUUUUCAUACCGUGAGCUCACAUACUCACUGAGCUGCAUGGUAUUUAACGUUUUUGCUUCCAUCCAUUUAAGUGUCCUUUAUGUCCAGCAAUUUUUAGCCAAUCUUUUCUUCCUACUCUCCUCAUCAGACAAGGCUUGGUGUUCCAGAUUUAAUGCAGGUGUUUCUCCCUGAUUCAGUCAGGGAGUCAGACUCAUUUGGGCAACCGAGUUGACUCAUUACUGUUCAAGCAAAUUCCCCAAAAACUAGAAAUACACACAGAAAAGGGAUAGAUACACACCAGAAAGUAACACUCAGAGGCCACUGGUGACAGUAAUUCCCCUUGACAUAGAUGUUGGAGCUGCCUCCAGCUCUGAUAAAAGAGCAUCAGGAGCUAAAAUGCAGCACUGUGUACCUGUGGGGAACCUUCCUGGACUUAGAGUAAAGCCUCAGCACCUCUGAGCCUAGCAACACAGAGCUCCCAGGACAAGGAGCAUCAAGAGCCUGGGCUCCACAGAGCCAGCACUGCACUCUGGGUGGUGAACAGCCUUGUUGAUGCAGACAGGGAGUAAGGGAACCUUAUGAUCUUUCAUUUCUUCCUUCGGUUAACAUCUUACAGUGCACUGAUAUCUUGCCCAGCAGAUACAUCAUCACUACAGUCCCAUCUGGGCUAUCCCAUCCUUUCAGACUACAAGUUAUGAGUAGAGCAGCCUGCCACCAUUUUUAACAGAACCUCAGUGCAGCAACUGUGGCCAAGAUGCAACUAAACACUUUCUGAGUACAGUACUGAAGUUUCAUGCUACAGAUUGGGCACAACCCCUUCCAGAGCUCAAGUUCAGUUGUUAUCACAGGUAUUGUCAGUUCUAUGCUAUAGGGUUUGUAAUCCAGAGAGAAGAUGUGACCUCCUCCCCAGCAGAUGAUACUAGAUUAGUAUUUUAACUGUCUUCAGUAAAUUUGGAUCAGAUUGAGGGUUCUUGCUUGUUCUGCAUCCCAAAGUCCAGCCUAACAACUGUGUCUUCUAUUGACUGCAAUACCAAUUGAUACCUCUCAAUCCAGACCAGGUGUGGAAAACC